ACYUUCUUUAUUUUACAAAAAUAAUUUGAUUUUUAAAUCAAAAAGUUUAAAUUUUAUUAUAGGACGAGAAGACCCUAUAGAACUUUAUUUUCUCUAAAGUAUUUAUUUUUUUGUAAAUAAUUAUUAUUUAUUUUAGGGAAAAUUUUGUUGGGGUGACAAAAAAAAUUUUAUAACUUUUUUUAHWUAUUUCAUUUAUAUAUGAUUUUUUGAUCCUUUAUUAUGGAUAAUAAGAUUAAGUUACCUUAGGGAUAACAGCGUUAUUAUUUUAGAAAGUUCAUAUUGAUAAAAUAGUUUGCGACCUCGAUGUUGGAUUAAAAUUAGUUUCAGGAGUAGAAGAUUGAU
rnacentral:rRNA from 1 species